UUAUAUCUUGAUUGGUCUUUAUUUAUAAAUCAGCGAAAUAUUAAUUUAAUCUCCAUUAAAACUCGUGUAACGGAUAAGUGGAAUUUUUUACGUUAUGCGAAUCCUGUCUGGAGUUACAAUU